GCCACCAUGCCUGGCUAAUUUUUGUAUUCUUUAGUAGAGAUGGGGUUUCACCAUAUUGGCCAGGCUUGUCUUGAACUCCUGACCUUGUGAUCCACCUGCCUCGGCCUCCCAAAGUACUGGGACUACACGCAUAAGCCACCGCAUCCAGCCUGGAUGAUAUCUUUGGGCCAUGAAUUCACCUGUGGACUGCCUUCCUCCAGACCUCUAUGAUUUAGGAUGUGGUUUAUGCCAGUUUCUCUCUCCCAGGAGACAGCCCACAUCACACAACAUUUCACUCAGCUGUGUCGCUGAGCACUGACAAACUCAAUUUACGAAAGGCAAGAGUGAGUUGACACCAUGCUGUGGCAGUUGUCCUGAUGGGAGGAAACGACUCAUUUCCUUCCAAGGUAGAAUCCACCUUCUCUGAGAAGCAUACUUGUGCACAAGAGUACUGAAGACAAGGAGGAACUGUACAGAAGAAGAUGCAGGAGGUCUGAAGGGAAGUCAGAGACAAAAGAAGGAAGGAAGCAAGCAAGCACUGCUCAUGGAAUGGUCUGACAGCCCCAGGCUCGAGAAUGUGUCUCUCCCAAGUACUCUGUCACCCUGGUAACCAUGGAGACCAUGACGAUCGAUUAGAUGCCAUCUGAUCUCAACCUUACAAAAAAAAAAGGCAGCAGAUGGCAACCAGGCCACUAGACCUGUCUCAAGAGAGACGAAGAGGAAGAGCGAGAAAGGGAAGGA